GGUUAAGCGACUAAGCGUACACGGUGGAUGCCCUGGCAGUCAGAGGCGAUGAAGGACGUGCUAAUCUGCGAUAAGCGUCGGUAAGGUGAUAUGAACCGUUAUAACCGGCGAUUUCCGAAUGGGGAAACCCAGUGUGAUUCGUCACACUAUCAUUAACUGAAUCCAUAGGUUAAUGAGGCGAACCGGGGGAACUGAAACAUCUAAGUACCCCGAGGAAAAGAAAUCAACCGAGAUUCCCCCAGUAGCGGCGAGCGAACGGGGAGCAGCCCAGAGCCUGAAUCAGUGUGUGUGUUAGUGGAAGCGUCUGGAAAGGCGCGCGAUACAGGGUGACAGCCCCGUACACAAAAAUGCACAUACUGUGAGCUCGAUGAGUAGGGCGGGACACGUGGUAUCCUGUCUGAAUAUGGGGGGACCAUCCUCCAAGGCUAAAUACUCCUGACUGACCGAUAGUGAACCAGUACCGUGAGGGAAAGGCGAAAAGAACCCCGGCGAGGGGAGUGAAAAAGAACCUGAAACCGUGUACGUACAAGCAGUGGGAGC
rnacentral:rRNA from 1 species